AGCGAACGCUGGCGGCAGGCCUAACACAUGCAAGUCGAACGAACCUUUCGGGGUUAGUGGCGGACGGGUGAGUAACACGUGGGAACGUGCCUUUAGGUUCGGAAUAACUCAGGGAAACUUGUGCUAAUACCGAAUGUGCCCUUCGGGGGAAAGAUUAAUCGCCUUUAGAGCGGCCCGCGUCUGAUUAGCUAGUUGGUUGAGGUAACGGCUCACCAAGGCGACGAACAGUAGCUGGUCUGAGAGGAUGAUCAGCCACAUUGGGACUGAGACACGGCCCAAACUCCUACGGGAGGCAGCAGUGGGGAAUCUUGCGCAAUGGGCGAAAGCCUGACGCAGCCAUGCCGCGUGAAUGAUGAAGGUCUUAGGAUUGUAAAAUUCUUUCACCGGGGACGAUAAUGACGGUACCCGGAGAAGAAGCCCCGGCUAACUUCGUG
rnacentral:rRNA from 1 species